AGGUAAGGCGCUGGCAUCCACCUCCCACGAAAGCCGUCCGGCUUUUUUGCGACCCGGUCCGACCUGGCAGGAGCCAAGCGGGACUGCGCUCCUAAAAUACAAGGAUGUUUUAAGAAAAAAGAAGAUCCUGGUGGAACAUUGCACUAAUAAAACAACAACAACAAAAAAGAAGAAACAAUUAUGAAACAGGAAUAUUUGAAGACAUGAGAUGGAAAGCCUAAUCUGUUGCCAAGACCUAUUAUCCUUUGACUUGAGUCAAACAAUACAUCUUGCUUAUUGAAUCAGGGAGUAGUGUGUGUUUUACGAAGACAGAAAGGAAAAGCACAGAGCUGGCUUUGCCUACAGCAUCCACUGUUGACAGCUAAGUUUGAUGCAGCAGUACAGAAAAAGAGCUAUCAACAAUGCCAACAUCUUCACUUGAGCUAUGGCUGCACAGUCAACUCUUAGAUUUCCUUGGAAAUUUUUCAGCAAGUCAAAAUUUUGUUGGAAACAUCUGCACAGCUUUCAUAAUGCAAGUUACUUGGGCUUUUGAAGUACCUUGAUUUGACAGAGUCCUGUGAGCUCAAAGGACCUGCUGGAAGUGGCUCAGAAGACUGCAGUUAUGCUGAGUCAAUUCUCUGGAGGGGAGAACAGCAUCACUGGUAGACAGAACCUGGCUGGCGGCUGCUGCAAGGUGUGGCUCUGCAUUCUGUUUUGUUUCUUUAGAGGGAUAAUGUUCCAUUGAGAGUAACUGUCUUGUGCACCUCAAGUCCCCUUGAUCAUUAUCAGAUCUGUGCUCCCUUCCUACUCAAUGGGUCAGAGCUGCUCUUUCAUCUGGUUGGUUGAGCUGCAUGGUACAAUCCUCACAGCUUGGGCAGAUCCACCAGAGCUAUUUGUUCACAUCCACUUCAUUGUUAUUAACUUCCCAUCUGCACUGCCCUUCCCCUUCCAGACAGCAGGGAAGGCAGAGAUGGUUAUCCUUACCAGAGAGGAACAGUUCCCUUCGCUGGGAGAGGAGUGCCAAGCAGAUAUUUCAAAUGGAGAAAGUAGCAUGGGACGACAAGGAGAGUGAACUUCUUAGAAAAGAGAAAUUCAGUCAGGUAACAUGGAAAAAGAGAUGGAAAAAAGAAAAGUGCUGGAAAAAGAGGCUUCUUAAAUGCGGUUAGCAUGCUAAAGACUAGUGUCUUCCCAGAUCUCUCAUUGCUUUUGCGUUCAGUUCCUGGAAGUAAUUAUGAGCCUAGUUUGGGGGAUUCAGUUUUGGUGCACCAUGUUUAGAUUUUUCAAACUACCUUUUUCAUCUCUGGGUUAAAUAGGACACAAGGCAUGGUCUAUUAUGUGGCACUUGGAGUUAGGGAGGAGAAGACCCCCAGGGAAUCAUGGGCUGCUUGCACUGUUAAUGUGCUGCCCCCUUACUUACCCACAGAUUGUCAGUGAAAAUACUGGUAUUCAGCCCUGCCAUGGCACAAAAUACGGAAUUUCAGGACUGAAAUUACUGUCCUUAAGUGAACGCUAACCAUGUGACCAGACAGAGGAAUGCGUUUGCUUGGUCAGUAAACAUCUUUUUAAGGGCAUUCACAUAAUUUGGCUUCCAGUUUCUCCUCACCAGGCAGAUUUUAUUUAGUCAAUACCAGAACUAUCAUAGACUGUGCUGUUUUAUUCUGCACAAGACUACUGUUCCCCAUGUUACUGUGCUGGAGCUCUUAGGGGUGCUUGAGGACAAACCCAGGCAUAGGGCAUGAAAAAGCUCAGCUGCUUUACCGGCAUUGCAGCACCCUCAGCAACCUACUCGGAAAGCCCAGAGCUGACUUUGCAUUUUUGGCCUUGAUCUCUGGCACUAAAGUUAAUUGGGAUAAUUCAGAGUUCACACCCAUCUCCCUGAGGGUUUGGUUUAAAAAUACAUGUAAUGUGAGGUUUAAAAUAAUUUCUUUUGAUUGGAAGUAUUUGGAAAUGUUUCUCUCCACUGCUUUUAAAAG